rnacentral:rRNA from 1 species
AGUCUAGGGGUAUAGUUCUUCGGAGCUAGAGACCGGCGCACGGGUGCGUAACGCGUAUGCAAUCUACCUUUUACAGAGGGAUAGCCCAGAGAAAUUUGGAUUAAUACCUCAUAGUAUAAUGACUUGGCAUCAAGACAUUAUUAAAGUCACAACGGUAAAAGAUGAGCAUGCGUCCCAUUAGCUAGUUGGUAAGGUAACGGCUUACCAAGGCUACGAUGGGUAGGGGUCCUGAGAGGGAGAUCCCCCACACUGGUACUGAGACACGGACCAGACUCCUACGGGAGGCAGCAGUGAGGAAUAUUGGACAAUGGGCGCAAGCCUGAUCCAGCCAUGCCGCGUGCAGGAUGACGGUCCUAUGGAUUGUAAACUGCUUUUAUACGAGAAGAAACACUACUUCGUGAAGUAGCUUGACGGUAUCGUAAGAAUAAGGAUCGGCUAACUCCGUGCCAGCAGCCGCGGUAAUACGGAGGAUCCAAGCGUUAUCCGGAAUCAUUGGGUUUAAAGGGUCCGUAGGCGGUUUAGUAAGUCAGUGGUGAAAGCCCAUCGCUCAACGGUGGAACGGCCAUUGAUACUGCUGAACUUGAAUUAUUAGGAAGUAACUAGAAUAUGUAGUGUAGCGGUGAAAUGCUUAGAGAUUACAUGGAAUACCAAUUGCGAAGGCAGGUUACUACUAAUUGAUUGACGCUGAUGGACGAAAGCGUGGGUAGCGAACAGGAUUAGAUACCCUGGUAGUCCACGCCGUAAACGAUGGAUACUAGCUGUUGGGAGCAAUCUCAGUGGCUAAGCGAAAGUGAUAAGUAUCCCACCUGGGGAGUACGUUCGCAAGAAUGAAACUCAAAGGAAUUGACGGGGGCCCGCACAAGCGGUGGAGCAUGUGGUUUAAUUCGAUGAUACGCGAGGAACCUUACCAAGGCUUAAAUGUAGAUUGACCGGUUUGGAAACAGAUCUUUCGCAAGACAAUUUACAAGGUGCUGCAUGGUUGUCGUCAGCUCGUGCCGUGAGGUGUCAGGUUAAGUCCUAUAACGAGCGCAACCCCUGUUGUUAGUUGCCAGCGAGUCAUGUCGGGAACUCUAACAAGACUGCCAGUGCAAACUGUGAGGAAGGUGGGGAUGACGUCAAAUCAUCACGGCCCUUACGCCUUGGGCUACACACGUGCUACAAUGGCCGGUACAGAGAGCAGCCACUGGGCGACCAGGAGCGAAUCUAUAAAACCGGUCACAGUUCGGAUCGGAGUCUGCAACUCGACUCCGUGAAGCUG